GAGCAAGAUUGCGUCCUCUGAGAAGAUGAGGAUCGGAGGCACAGCGGAGAUGGCCUGGAUGCAGAUCUGCGAUCCGUCCGACAAAGAGAAAGGAAACUACUCCAUCGAGAUCUCAGACGGCGUGCAGACUCACGUCAGAACCUUCGACCUCUCCGGACAAGCAUACACUGAUGCUUAUGAGGAGUACCUCAGACUUAAGGCAGCUGCAUUCGCUGAGAAGAGUGA